rnacentral:rRNA from 1 species
UCUACCCCAAAGACUGGGAUAACCUUGGGAAACUAAGGCUAAUACCGGAUAGGUGUAAGGGAGGCAUCUCUUUUACAUUAAAGUUGGGAAUCCAACGGUAUGGGAUGAGUUCAUGCUGCAUUAGUUAGUUGGUGAGGUAACGGCCCACCAAGACGAUGAUGCAUAGCCGAUCUGAGAGGAUGACCGGCCACAUUGGGACUGAGACACGGCCCAGACUCCUACGGGAGGCAGCAGUAGGGAAUUUUCGGCAAUGGGGGAAACCCUGACCGAGCAACGCCGCGUGAAUGAUGAAGGCCUUAGGGUCGCAGAAUUCUGUUGUGAGGGAAGAACCUCAAGUCUAGGAAAUGAGACUUGACUGACGGUACCUUACCAGAAAGCCACGGCUAACUACGUGCCAGCAGCCGCGGUAAUACGUAGGUGGCGAGCGUUAUCCGGAUUCAUUGGGCGUAAAGGGUGCGUAGGCGGCCCGUCAAGUUUAAGGUGAAAGCACGGAGCUCAACUCCGUUAAGCCUUAAAAACUAACAGGCUGGAGUGCGGUAAAGGUAAGUGGAAUUCCAUGUGUAGCGGUAAAAUGCGUAGAUAUAUGGAGGAACACCAGUGGCGAAGGCGGCUUACUGGGCCGCAACUGACGCUGAGGCACGAAAGCGUGGGGAGCAAAUAGGAUUAAAUACCCUAGUAGUCCACGCUGUAAACGAUGAUCACUA